GAUACACUAGAUGAGAAUCAAAACAGAAACACAUUUUACAGCUGCUGUUGCCUUUUCCGAGAUGAGCAUGAAUGCUUUGAGGCAGCAGAAAAACAAGUCCAGAUGAGAAAUGUCCAGACUACAGUUGGUGUAAAUGCUAAAACAGGG